AUACGGAGGGGGCUAGCGUUGUUCGGAAUUACUGGGCGUAAAGCGCGUGUAGGCGGAUCGUUAAGUCAGGGGUGAAAGCCCGGAGCCCAACUCCGGAAUUGCCCUUGAUACUGGCGAUCUAGAGGCCGGGAGAGGUGAGCGGAAUUCCCAGUGUAGAGGUGAAAUUCGUAGAUAUUGGGAGGAACACCAGUGGCGAAGGCGGCUCACUGGCCCGGUUCGGACGCUGAGACGCGAAAGCGUGGGGAGCAAACAGGAUUAGAAACCCCAGUAGUCC
rnacentral:rRNA from 1 species